rnacentral:rRNA from 1 species
CCAAUAGCGUAUAUUAAAGUUGCUGCAGUUAAAAAGCUCGUAGUUGAAUUUCGGGAUCACCAUGUCGGUCGUGCCUCGGUACGUACUGGCAUCGUUGGUUUCUCCCUUCUGACGAACCAUGAUGUCAUUUAUUUGGUGUUGUGGGGAAUCAGGACUGUUACUUUGAAAAAAUUAGAGUGUUUAAAGCAGGCUCACGCUUGAAUACAUUAGCAUGGAAUAAUGAAAUAGGACGUUUGAUUCUAUUUUGUUGGUUUCUAGGAUCGACGUAAUGAUUAAUAGGGAUAGUUGGGGGCAUUAGUAUUCAAUUGUCAGAGGUGAAAUUCUUGGAUUUAUUGGAGACUAACUACUGCGAAAGCAUUUGCCAAGGAUGUUUUCAUUAAUCAAGAACGAAAGUUAGGGGAUCGAAGGCGAUCAGAUACCGUCGUAGUCUUAACCAUAAACUAUGCCGACUAGGGAUCGGAUGAUGUUAAUUUUUUAAUGACUCAUUCGGCGCCUUACG